rnacentral:tRNA from 1 species
GGGGAUUUGCUCAGUGGUAGAGCACUUGCCUAGCAAGCACAAGGUCCUGGGUUCAGUCCCCAGCUCCG